UACCUAGUAUCUGCAUUUCCACCUUAUAAAUACUUUCAGCUCUGGCCAUCAAUUCGUAUUUGAACGCUUUUUACUAGUAAUUUGAGUCAAGUGGUACUCCGCGUUUAAAAUUUUUAUAUUCGUUGUAUUUGAAUAACUUCAAAUUUUCUUAAUCAAAAUGCCUGACCCGUGUUGUGGAGGAAAAGGAUCGAGCUCGACCUCUUGCCAAUGUGGAAGCGACUGUAAAUGUACCUCGGGAUCCGGAUGCGGAUGCAAGGGAGGUAAAUGCUGCAAGUAGGAAGGAGUCCUCAACAUGUAUACAAGUUCGCUUGAAAAUUCGUAAACAAGAUGGAACUCAAUAAAAUGAGGAAACAUAUUAUGUCGUAAUAAAUAUUUUUAACUUGUAAAA